UACAGAGGUCCCAAGCGUUGUUCGGAUUCACUGGGCGUAAAGGGUGCGUAGGCGGUUGGGUAAGUCUGACGUGAAAUCUCCAAGCUUAACUUGGAAACUGCGUUGGAUACUAUCCGGCUUGAGGAAUGGAGGGGAGACUGGAAUACUUGGUGUAGCAGUGAAAUGCGUAGAUAUCAAGUGGAACACCAGUGGCGAAGGCGAGUCUCUGGACAUUUCCUGACGCUGAGGCACGAAAGCCAGGGGAG
rnacentral:rRNA from 1 species